rnacentral:rRNA from 1 species
AGUGAACGCUGGCGGUAGGCCUAACACAUGCAAGUCGAACGGCAGCACAGUAAGAGCUUGCUCUUACGGGUGGCGAGUGGCGGACGGGUGAGGAAUACAUCGGAAUCUACUUUUUCGUGGGGGAUAACGUAGGGAAACUUACGCUAAUACCGCAUACGACCUACGGGUGAAAGCAGGGGAUCUUCGGACCUUGCGCGAUUGAAUGAGCCGAUGUCGGAUUAGCUAGUUGGCGGGGUAAAGGCCCACCAAGGCGACGAUCCGUAGCUGGUCUGAGAGGAUGAUCAGCCACACUGGAACUGAGACACGGUCCAGACUCCUACGGGAGGCAGCAGUGGGGAAUAUUGGACAAUGGGCGCAAGCCUGAUCCAGCCAUACCGCGUGGGUGAAGAAGGUCUUCGGGUUGUAAAGCCCUUUUGUUGGGAAAGAAAAGCAGCAGGUUAAUACCCCGCUGUUCUGACGGUACCAAAAGAAUAAGCACCGGCUAACUUCGUG